rnacentral:ncRNA from 1 species
GUAAAUACAAUGAAAGAGACUGUUUAUAAUAAGAUGUUUAUAGAGAGCUGAUGGUCGGUGUAAAUCAGUAACUAUUAUUAUAAUGAAUCACUCUGGAGUAGCGCCUUGAAAAUAGUAGGGGUGGCCGUUGAUCGCGUUAAGAUUUUAAGUGCGUAUUGAAAAAUACGAAAUAAGGUGGUACCGCGAAUAUUCGUCCUUUGU